AGAGUUUGAUCAUGGCUCAGAACGUACGCUGGCGGCACGCCUAACACAUGCAAGUCGAACGCAGUAGCAAUACUGAGUGGCAAACGGGUGAGUAUAAUGUGGGAAUCUGCCUUUUGGUUUGGAAUAACACGGGGAAACUUGUGCUAAUACCGAAUAAGCCCUUACGGGGAAAGUUUUAACGCCGAAAGAUGAGCCUGCACUUGAUUAGCUAGUUGGUAAGGUAAAGGCUUACCAAGGCAACGAUCAAUAGCUGUUCUUAGAGGAAGACCAGCCACAUUGGGACUGAGACACGGCCCAGACUCCUACGGGAGGCAGCAGUGGGGAAUCUUGCACAAUGGGGGAAACCCUGAUGCAGCGAUGCCGCGUGAGUGAAGAAGGCCUUUGGGUUGUAAAACUCUUUCGUCGGGGAAGAAAAUGACUGUACCCGAAUAAGAAGGUCCGGCUAACUUCGUGCCAGCAGCCGCGGUAAUACGAAGGGACCUAGCGUAGUUCGGAAUUACUGGGCUUAAAGAGCUCGUAGGUGGUUAAAAAAGUUGAUGGUGAAAUCCCAAGGCUCAACCUUGGAACUGCCAUCAAAACUUUUUAGCUAGAGUGUGAUAGAGGUAAGUGGAAUUUCUAGUGUAGAGGUGAAAUUCGUAGAUAUUAGAAAGAACACCAAAUGCGAAGGCAACUUACUGGGUCACUACUGACACUGAGGAGCGAAAGCAUGGGUAGCGAAGAGGAUUAGAUACCCUCGUAGUCCAUGCCGUAAACGAUGUGUGCUAGACGUUGGAAAUAUAUUUUUCAGUGUCGCAGCGAAAGCAUUAAGCACACCGCCUGGGGAGUA
rnacentral:rRNA from 1 species